rnacentral:lncRNA from 1 species
AUUUAAGUUGACUUUUGUAUAAGGUAAGAGAUGGGAAUUCAGUUUCAUUUCUUGGGAUAUAGCUUGCCAAUUAUCCAAGCACCAUAUGUUGAGUAGGGUGUUCUUUCCCCACUUUAUAUUGUUUGCUUUGUCAAAGACCAGUUGGCUGUAAGUAUUUGAGUUUACUUCUGGGUUCUCUAUUAUGUUUCAUUGGUCUAUGUGCUUAUUUUUAUACCAGUAUUAUGCUGUUUUGCUGACUAUGGGUUUGUAGUAUAGAUUGAAGUCAGGUAAUGUAAUGCCUCCAGAUUUGUUCUUUCUGCUUAGUCUUGCUUUGGCUAUGUGGGCUCGUUUUUUUUUUCCCAUAUGAAUUUUAGAAUUAUCAGGAGCCACCAGGUGCUGCAGCAGCUUUGGGAUAACUUGAGGGCGCAUCCUGGGGAAGAAACACCUCCUGUCCAUGGUGCUAACUGCUGAGGACAGUGCUUCGGCGUGGCUUCUCCGUGGCCCAGCUUCUUUGGGGCGUUUUUCUUUCAUGGUUCAUCCAUAUGGCUCCAAAUGAAAAUUACAUUAAUUAUGGAUGAAGAGUAUUGUGUUGUGCAGAUAUACUGCAGUUUCUUCAUCCCUUCAUCUAUGGAUGGACAGGUUUCUCCAUCUUGCUGGUAGUGAACUGAUGUCCGGAAGUUUGAUGGCCGAAGAGUAUACCGUUGUGCAUAUAUCCUUCAAUUCCUGAUUUUAUCAUCUGUAGAAAGACAAAAAUCUUCAGACUGAUUUCCACAGUUUGAGAUCUAGUUUGCAUUACCUCCAAGAGAAUAGCCAUGUUUGCUUUUCUCUGCUGCCACACCAGCAUGUUAUGUUUUGACUUAGGACAAAUGGCCACUCUGACCAGCGUGUGAUGGCACCGGUACCUCAUCUCUGAUGAUUGGUGAUGUUGAGCAUUCCCCACGCCUGUUGGAAUGGCAAUCCCUUGGAAAUGUCUUCUCAAUAGUUACUACCCAUAGAGAACAGACCCUCCCAGUCUUCAGUGCACUCUAAAUACUGGCUAAUUCUGGCCAAUGGAAGGCAUCUGUGGAAGAAAAAAGCCUCAGAUCAUGUGCUGUCUGUCUUUAUUCAGUGUGACAUAUUAGGUAAUGGUCACAGACACUCACCAUGGCCCCAGUUUUUAAUAACAUGACCCUGCUUUUGUGUUCCAGUAACUUCUGUUGUUUUCCCAAUCCUAAGUAUGAUAGAAACUUCCUGCUGCUGCUAAUCUCUGGGUUCCAUUUAAAAUCCUUCCAUCACAUGAAUACUAUGCUGUGUUCUAAAUUUUUCCAUAAUUAAAUACUUACAAUUAUUUUUGCCUACUUCUUUUGCCCCUUAGUGAUAUGUUUUAAAAACACUUAUAAUGUGUCACAAUAUAUUUAGCAAAUGUAGGGAAUGACAUUUUUACUUUCGUCAGCAUUUACACUAGCAUUUAUGGAGCGAUGCUAUAUAAAGUAUUUUUAGUAAUUUAAACGUUAUAUAACAGAUAUCCGUUGAUUCCUUUGUUUCUACGUAAAUAAGUAUACUUGAGAUAUUCAGUAAACAGUAUUGAAUACAUGUUUCAUUUGUAUAAUAUAAAAUUAUGAUUAUUCUUUUUAAACAGUACAUCAUAUUUGCUUGUUGGCUUUAUGAUAACUUAGAAAUAAUAUUCUGGAUUAACUGUGUGACUCAUGAGAAGAUUUGUGCAACUAUGUUUCCAAAUUUACUUGAUUUUCAAGACUUACACUAGAACUGUGAGAACAGGGUAAUAAAUAAGCAUAUGUAUUAAUAUCACCUUUGGUCAACUCUUGGGUAGCCCCAACGGUAGUGUAGGAAUUAACGUAAUUUUUCCUACUAAAAGUAUUGGAUUUGUUUUGAGAGACCACAGUUGAAAAUCAUUGACAUACAAAGUUUAAAAAUUGUUAGGUUAAAAAAUUUUAAAUGCAUUUGAAGUGGUUUUAUAGAAAAAUAAUUAUCUAACUUGGUUUAUAUUGACAGGUUGUUUUCUUGGAUAAGAACUAGACGAAGAGAAAGGGAGAUUAGUGAUAAAUGUCCAGGUUUUCAAGUUGAAAAGUAACAAUCAGUGUAUUACAACAGAUGGAUGUGAUGUCAAAUUACAAAUGCUGAAAACGUUAUAUGUAAUCAUGUAGCCAGAGUAAUCAUACAAGGCAAAGAACGGAAAGGCAUCCAAAUAGGAAAGAGGCUGGAAUGCAGUGGCACCAUCUCAGCUCACUGCAACCUCCGCCUCUGGGUUCAAGUGCUGCUCCUGCCUCAGUCUC